rnacentral:rRNA from 1 species
AGUGAACGCUGGCGGUAUGCCUAACACAUGCAAGUCGAACGGCAGCACAGUAAGAGCUUGCUCUUACGGGUGUCGAGUGGCGGACGGUUGAGGAAUACAUCGGAAUCUACUUUUUCGUGGGGGAUAACGUAGGGAAACUUACGCUAAUACCGCAUACGACCUACUGGUGAAAGCAGGCGAUCUUCGGACCUUUCGCGAUUGAAUGAGCCGAUGUCGGAUUAGCUAGUUGGCGGGGUAAAGGCCCACCAAGGCGACGAUCCGUAGCUGGUCUGAGAGGAUGAUCAGCCAGACUGGAACUGAGACACGGUCCAGACUCCUACGGGAGGCAGCAGUGGGGAAUAUUGGACAAUGGGCGCAAGCCUGAUCCAGCCAUACCGCGUGGGUGAAGAAGGACUUCGGGUUGUAAAGCCAUGUUGUUGGGAAAGAAAAGCAGCAGGUUAAUACCCCGCUGUUCUGACGGUACCCAAAGAAUAAGCACCGGCUAACUUCGUG